UCGUUGCCGGUCAUUUCUGUUCGUCGUCGUCGAUCCCGGCCUCGGAAGCCUACGCGGAAGGCAACGUGUUGCAGAUAACCCCGGCUUCGACCAAUCCGGUGUUCACCGAGCGCAAGCUGUGGAACGUGCUCCGCGUCUGCGGCCGUGACGACCAGCAGGGCCUUGUCGCCGCGCAGUACAUCCUCAAGGCGUUCGCCGGCAAGAACGUCGCCAUCCUUAACGACAAGACCACCUACGGAAAGGGUCUUGCGGACGAGACCAAGAAGGCGCUGAACGCCGCCGGCUU
rnacentral:misc_RNA from 1 species